rnacentral:rRNA from 1 species
GACGAACGCUGGCGGCGUGCUUAACACAUGCAAGUCGAACGGAAAGGCCCUGCUUUUGUGGGGUGCUCGAGUGGCGAACGGGUGAGUAACACGUGAGUAACCUGCCCUUGACUUUGGGAUAACUUCAGGAAACUGGGGCUAAUACCGGAUAGGAGCUCCUGCUGCAUGGUGGGGGUUGGAAAGUUUCGGCGGUUGGGGAUGGACUCGCGGCUUAUCAGCUUGUUGGUGGGGUAGUGGCUUACCAAGGCUUUGACGGGUAGCCGGCCUGAGAGGGUGACCGGCCACAUUGGGACUGAGAUACGGCCCAGACUCCUACGGGAGGCAGCAGUGGGGAAUAUUGCACAAUGGUCGGAAGCCUGAUGCAGCAACGCCGCGUGCGGGAUGACGGCCUUCGGGUUGUAAACCGCUUUCGCCUGUGACGAAGCGUGAGUGACGGUAAUGGGUAAGAAGCACCGGCUAACUACGUG